GCCCUUAGAGUUUGAUCCUGGCUCAGAACGAACGCUGGCGGCAGGCUUAACACAUGCAAGUCGAGCGCCCCGCAAGGGGAGCGGCAGACGGGUGAGUAACGCGUGGGAAUCUACCCUUUUCUACGGAAUAACGCAGGGAAACUUGUGCUAAUACCGUAUGUGUCCUUCGGGAGAAAGAUUUAUCGGAGAUGGAUGAGCCCGCGUUGGAUUAGCUAGUUGGUGGGGUAAAGGCCUACCAAGGCGACGAUCCAUAGCUGGUCUGAGAGGAUGAUCAGCCACACUGGGACUGAGACACGGCCCAGACUCCUACGGGAGGCAGCAGUGGGGAAUAUUGGACAAUGGGCGCAAGCCUGAUCCAGCCAUGCCGCGUGAGUGAUGAAGGCCCUAGGGUUGUAAAGCUCUUUCACCGGAGAAGAUAAUGACGGUAUCCGGAGAAGAAGCCCCGGCUAACUUCGUGCCAGCAGCCGCGGUAAUACGAAGGGGGCUAGCGUUGUUCGGAAUUACUGGGCGUAAAGCGCACGUAGGCGGAUAUUUAAGUCAGGGGUGAAAUCCCAGAGCUCAACUCUGGAACUGCCUUUGAUACUGGGUAUCUUGAGUAUGGAAGAGGUAAGUGGAAUUCCGAGUGUAGAGGUGAAAUUCGUAGAUAUUCGGAGGAACACCAGUGGCGAAGGCGGCUUACUGGUCCAUUACUGACGCUGAGGUGCGAAAGCGUGGGGAGCA
rnacentral:rRNA from 1 species